UGCAGCCGCGAUGUUUCGUGAG
rnacentral:misc_RNA from 1 species